ACUGCUCAGUAACACGUGGAUAGCCUGCCCUGCGGUGGGAAAUAACCCCGGGAAACUGGGGAUAAUGUCCCAUAGGCUACGGAUGCUGGAAUGCUCUGUAGCUCAAAGAUUUAUCGCCACAGGAUGGGUCUGCGGCCGAUUAGGUAGUUGUUGGGGUAACGGCCCAACAAGCCUUUGAUCGGUACGGGUUGUGGGAGCAAGAGCCCGGAGAUGGAUUCUGAGACACGAAUCCAGGCCCUACGGGGCGCAGCAGGCGCGAAAACUUUACAAUGCGGGAAACCGUGAUAAGGGAACUCCGAGUGUCCGUAAAUGCGGACUGUCCGUAUGUUUAAAAAGCAUGCGAAGAAAGGGCCGGGCAAGACCGGUGCCAGCCGCCGCGGUAAUACCGGCGGCUCGAGUGGUGGCCACUAUUACUGGGCUUAAAGCGUUCGUAGCUGGGUUGUUAAGUCUCUUGGGAAAUCUACCGGCUUAACCGAUAGGCGUCCAAGGGAUACUGGCAAUCUAGGGACCGGGAGAGGUGAGGGGUACUUCAGGGGUAGGAGUGAAAUCCUGUAAUCCUUGGGGGACCACCUGUGGCGAAGGCGCCUCACCAGAACGGCUCCGACAGUGAGGGACGAAAGCUGGGGGAGCAAACCGGAUUAGAUACCCGGGUAGUCCCAGCUGUAAACGAUGCGCGUUAGGUGUAUCGGUGACCACGAGUCACCGAGGUGCCGAAGAGAAAUCGUGAAACGUGCCGCCUGGGAAGUACGGUCGCAAGGCUGAAACUUAAAGGAAUUGGCGGGGGAGCAC
rnacentral:rRNA from 1 species